AUUAUGGGCAAGCGGCAGUACGUCCUGUACUAAAUCACCGACAAAUGCAAGCAGUCACAAUUACAAAUCGCACCUAUGGACAACGUAGAGCCUCAGAUGAAGCAAAGAUGCAAGAUUCUGGAAUGUGGGAGGAAGCUGGUGUACCAAGGGGAGGGGCAUACCGAAAAGGGAACUGAUAUUCUAAAGUAGAACCUCUUGAAAGUGAGGCAGAUGUGCUAACCGCUAAACCGCCGCGCUGCCCAAAAUGGUAUUAUUACAUUUAUAGAUCUGCGCUAAGAAAUAGAGCAAGGGAAAGCCAUCCUUUGAGCUGAGCUUGAACUUUGGAUCUUGCCAAGAACAAACACAGUCCUCGGUUGUACUAGUCUGCUGAUAGGUUAAUUAUUUGUUCAGUGCCACGCAAAAACCUGCUGAUCCGCAUUCCGCCGAGACAAACCUCGUCCACCUGAUGUGACACGCCGCUGAUUUACUUCCUCUUGCCACAUGGACCGCGAGCUGCACACACACACAUUGCGCUAAUGGGUUAAUUUCACUCAAGCACAACCUGAACUUGAAAUGGCACUAUGCACAUCGACGAGUUCCCUUCCAUCUCGCGCCUGUGGUCUUUGUUUUUGCAAUGGCCACAAAGCUAUUAAUUUCAACACACCAAGGAGGGAGAAGUCAGUGUUAAAAUUUCACACCCCUGUCCUGGAAAUGAUGCAGGUGGCACCAUGCCUGUACAGAAGCAUCCUCAAAAGGUGAGAAACAGCCCACCUGUUACGCUUGGGACAAAUAUCACAAAAGUCAGGAAAGUCCCUGUUUUGACAUCUAGGAGUUGUCACAAUCUAAUCGCAAGAUCGGAAUUCGGUCCGGAAUUUUCAGAUGAUCUGUAUCGGGUAAAAAGACUUGAUUGACAAAACAAGAGACACUAGCCUAUUUCAAAUGCAUGCCAUCUAUUAGCAAGCAUGCUCCCGAAACAUCACCAUAUACGCCAUUUCUCAAUUUGCGCUUGUGUCCAUUCUCACAUCUUGGUGCUCUCAAAAAAUGUCCUGUUCCAAUUCAAAGUACACAUAAACCAAGAAUCGACAUAACACUGGCUUUGACAGCAGUGCGAAAUGGGCUUCAACCUAUUUGACGUCAGUCGCCACACAGACAGGCAUAAAAAUGUCACCUUUCACGGUGAGAAAUGGCUUUCGGCUGAGAUUGUUCUCCGCACACGAUAAAGCAAAGAGACUAAUGCCUACACUUAUGCACCGCCAUCACACCCCAUUCAUUGUGUUCAUUUGUUUCCAAACAAAAAGAAGCAAAACAAAGUGUUGACUCAAUCCAGGUGGCUGCCAUUUUGUACUUUUAAAAAGCACAGCCUAGUCGAUCAUCAGUUAACGAAAGCGCGACCAUGUCGGGAGUUUUUGCUUUACGGCAGACGUGACCUGGCAGUGAGAAGGAAAAAUGAGGACACUGCGGAGAUGGAGCCCUAGAAACAGCCAUUUUAAAAAAAAAAAAAAAAAAAAAAUGUCUGCCUGCAUCUUCACGGCUCAAGGGCAUACGCGUGCGUAUGAAUAGAGAUUACAUGCGUUACACUGAAUGUGGGUUAUAUAUAUGUGUCCACUCAUGAGCAAACAUGCUCGGUCAAGCUCACAGGAAAAAAGCGUACUCAGUGGACAUAGAGGGUGCGACCCCACAAUAACAAACCUUGAGGGACUCCAAAGUGGAUUUUUAUCAUUUGGUGGAGUUUUCCCACUCUACCCCAGAGUGUCUGAAAGGUUAAGUCAGUCCAGAUUUAAUACACGAACGCAUAACUUUUUAAAACCUAAACGCAUGACUUUUAUGCCCCGAAUUUAAGACCUUAUUAAAUGUAAGAUUUUUUAAAACCUAUUUAGGUAAAGCUCAUAAACGUGCUUAGCACGCACAUCAUACUUCAGAGGAUUUAAUUAAGGACACGCAUGAGGGGGGAAUUAGUUCAAAGAAUAGAGGAAGGAUGGUUUUUGAGACGAUAUAAAUAUACAUUCCAUUUACAAAGCAAGCACCAAUGAGAGCCGAGCACGAGCAGACCUGCUUCCUAGUUUUGAUGAGGAAGUGGGAUCAUACAUUGACUCAGGUGAUGGUCACAGGCUGCCAAAUAUUCUGAAGUUGCUGUGAGCAUCUGGAAAAUCGAAGUCAUUUUAAAGCAAGCGUUUCAAACUGUUCCCUUGCGUCACUGUUCUCUAUAAAUGGCAUUGACGUGGAAAUGUGGAGGGCGAAGGAGAUGGUAUCGCAGCCGUGAUGGGUGACAUACUGAUUGCUGGCAUGGGGUGUCGACAGUGGUGUGAUGCUCAACAUUUGGUCAUCAUUUCAGCGUGACUUUUUUUUUUCCUGGAGUUGCUCUUCCACAUAAAUGGCAGAGACAAGGAAUGGGGGGGAAUGAAGUGAACCAGGGAAUUCUUUUGGAUGUAGUAACAGCCGGGACGAGGCCUGCGUGUGGCCGAAAAUAGCAACACAGCAGCAGUAGCAGCAGCAGUUGACUAAACCGGUCACCUGAGCUGACCCUUAAAUACAAGCACCAAAGAUAAGUGGGGCGGGCUCAAGACCACCGUGUGCAGAGCGCGGAAGCGAAAUGGAAGUGAGAGACGAGCGCGGAAGGCUUCUGACAGAGCAUGUUUCAUGGGAGGGUCCAUCUGCCGGGAUGUGCUCCACCUCUGGCCAGAUUCCACAGCACAGCCUAUGAGCAAGCACGCAUGACUCCAAAUUGUUGUGAGGUGAGACAGACAAAACAUUCCCCCCGAUCAAAUGCAUUUGCGGAACACCUUCGUCGAAGUGCAAGACUUCAGAUUUAUUCUCAUUCAUCAAAUGUGACCACAGCAUUGGGUGACAUAUUAUCUACCUUAUGAGCAACGUAAAACACCGAACGAUUAUUUUUGCCUGAAGGGGGACUGAACACAUUUGUACAUUAAUGUGGCAUUUGUAAGACCUUUGGCCAGCAGAUUUAUGGCUAAUUAAUUUUGAAAAGCCAAAUUUAAGACCGCCCAAUACCUUUUAAAACACGCGUGGAUGCCAAAGGAAGCAUAUAGUAAACACUGGAUGUAAAAAGGCACAUACAGCUCAUGUUAAUGGAGAUCGUGCCCAGGUCAACAAAGUGGCCAUUGAGAGGGAUAGAUUUUCAAAAGCAAUUCAGACGUCCAUUAGACAAAUCCUCCAGCUCUGUUGCAAGAAGCAGGCCACACCCACAGCUGGAGUUGCAGCAUGCAUGCUCUGGCUUGUGUGGGGCCACAAAUUGUGCACAAGUCAACACCCUUCUAGAAAAACAAAAUACAACAAUGUCCAAUAUGUAAGAACAUGCAUGACCCCAGGAUCUUGCAGUGGUUCCUGUUCCUCAUCCUGAUGCCCCAGUGGGCAAUACGAUUGAUGAGAUUUGCCACUUGAACAUGAGAUUAAUAAACCUCCUCCUUGGGAUUAAAAGAGAAUCUGAAUUCAAAUCUUCCCUUACUUUUGGUUUAGGGAGAGGAGGGAGAGUGACAAAUUCCAGGUUGAAGGCAGUGGGGCAGCCAUUAACAGGAAAUGACAUUUGAACGGCUAUAUUUAAAUUACAAGGCAGAAAAAUGUGUGUGAGCGGGCCAUUUGGAUUUUAAAACAAUGGUAUGAUAGUUUUAAUGUAGAGGUAACAUGAUAUGAGUAAUAUAUAGAAAACAAGGGGAGGACUACAUAGGGUUUUCUACUUCCUACUCCCUAUGAAUAUUUAAACUACACUUUAUAGAUAUCUUCUUUUCAUUUUUAUGUCUGUGUGUUCAUACAAAUUGUUCAAUCAAGUAAUAAAUCGCUCAUAAAUUGCUAUCAAAGUGCAGGGCUUGCCCAGACCCGGGCUUGUUUGUUGUUUCCCCAUAAAAAAAUGCAAAGGUUUUAUCACAAGAAAGACGAUCAGUGCCCUUCUCCAAAAGUACAACAAAAUAACAAGCACUGUGUACUGAUCCUGCAGUGCUUGUUAUUUUUUUUCUCACACUGAUACGCCACUAGAUUUCACAAUUGAUGAGAUUUUGCCACCUGAGUGUGAGAUUAACACUCCUGUAUGGGAUUGAAAACGAAUCUCGACAAGAUAAUCAUCUAUGGGAUUAACGAGGGGAGGGAGUGUGACACGUCCCACAAUGGAUCCCAAAACGCCAGCGGAUGGCAGAAAGGAAGCCCCUGACAGCAAACGACCACAUUGUAAUUGUUCAACCGUGAAUAAAAUUGUCUUAAACUAGAAGUGGGUGUGAAAUUUGGCGUUUAAAACGAUGACGUAACGUUUUCGAGAGUCGCUAUCAAGGUGCAGGCCCGAGCCAGGCUCGUGCUCGUGUGCUGUUUCACACUUUACGAUGCCGAAAAGGUUUAAAAUCAAGGAGGAAAAUAUCACUAAAUCAUAUUUUGGCAGCCACGUUCGAAAUUAGAUCUCAAACCAAUGGGUGUUACCAUGGAUAGCCGUUAGCUCGCCAUACUAGCCAUACCUGUGCGUCCCCUUCAGGGUUCUGGCUACUCGUUUCAUUCACAAAAAAAAAAAAAAAAAAAAUCCGGAAGGUGUCUCCCUUUUACAGCU